AUCUCUUUCCAGAGAUCACUCUUUCUGGAGUUUUUAUGCAAGCCUAAGAUAUGGUUGAGAAGAAUGCUGAAUUACAACAGUUCCCAAAGGACUAAUCCUUCAGCUGAACGCUGAUAUAGAAAUGACUUUCCUUUCCUUUGUGGUAUAUAUUCAUCAGAGAGGUUAUGGCAGAUGAGAUUUAUGAAGGUGGUUAUAAAUAUGAUAUGGAUGUCCACAAGCAAGAGCAGAAAAACUCUGAUCUUCAGCAGAGCAACCACAUACGUUGUGCCAUGCCCUGGACUUAACAUAAUGUUGAGGAUCUUGACUCCUACUGAGAACAGUAAGUCUCGUUGAUAGGAGUCUGAGUAUUUCAAAGCCAGCGUGGUAUUGCAUACAGCAUUGACUAGAAGUGGUGCCUGCUGUUAACUUUCAAAUCACCAUCCCAAUCUUUCUUGAUGAAAGAAAUUGAACUCUAGACCUCCUACCAAAUUUUAUUUUUGCUGUUUCAAUCCUCUUUUCCUUUAAAAAUAUCAGCAGCCUACCAGACUAAAGUACACAGAAUAGAGGGUCAAGCAGCAGAAGGAGGCCUUUUCUACUCCAUCCUCAGGCAGCUUGACACUGAAGCACAACAGGGGUUGCAUAUAGGGUGCAGUACAGAAGUGAGUUACCAUUUACAUGGACAGAUAGGAUAAGGUUCAUGUCAGGAGUUCUAAGAGUAUUUUUUGAACUUAAUAUAUUAACAUUUGACAAAUAUCAAUCUGUCAAAUUUGUAGCAAAAAAACAAUGCAAAUAAUCAAAGAAUGCCUUUCCAUAUUUUUACUAGAUCUGUAUUACCAUAAUUUGUCCAUUCAAUUCAGAUUCAUUAUUUUUCUGAGACGUAACCAGGAUGUCAACUGUGAUUAUGGAGAAUAUUUUAAGAAAACACUAAAGUUGAAAAAGAUUACAAAUUAGUGUACCUCUAAUUACAUUUCUAUUUCUUCAGUCAUUACAUAAUAUGGUGCACAUGAAAAUGAACCGCAAUGAAUUUCUCAGAUUUACUAUAUUUGGAAUAUAGUAAGUUAAGUUGAUAUAGUUUACAAAAUCAUGAUAUAUUACUGAAAAUACAUAUGUACUGUAAAAUUCAACAUGCCAGUGAUCCCUUAGAGCAUGUGGUAUUAACAUAUUUCAUGUGUCUAUCACAACUUCUUUGGCAUUUGUUCAAAUAUUUGACAAAAUGUUUGCAUAUAUGUUAGUACUGCAGACUUAGUACCAUAUUUGCUGUUCUUGCACCUUUCUCUGUCAAAUGUCACCCAGCUUAAAAAUUUUCCUCUAGAUUUUUGGAUAAUACUGACUAGAGAAUAAAUGAGAAAGAUUAACUAUAUAUGAAAUUAAAGGAAAUUAUUCUGCAAGUGAUUCUAUUAGGAGAAAACAUUUUGUAAUAAUCAGUUUUCUAGAUACCUUUUAAUUCAAUUCAAUGUUGACAGCAAAUGGAGUAGUCAGGAUGGAAACAUUUGCAAUCUGAGCAAAGCUCCUUCAGCCCUGAUUCUGAUUUUCUCUUUUGCUCUGAGGCACUGCUGGUUUUGCUUCCCAUCCUAGCCUUCCCACUUUGCUCACUUUCCUUUUCUGCUCGUUCCUUGGUGGAGUUUACUAGUUGUUCUUUUAUAGCAAAAUAAAAUUAAUUAA
ensembl:lncRNA